rnacentral:lncRNA from 1 species
AAUGGACAAGUGUCCGACAGUAGAAUUAGGGGUACAAGAUACCCACCUGAGAGAAAAGAAAAAAAUAUAGAGCAUCUCAUUCUCCUCUCAAAGUUUCAAAAAGCAAGAAAGGUAUGUAUCCCCUCAAAAGAGCAAAAGUAGAAUUAGACUUCCAUCACCAUUGUUUUCACCAUUGUUAUCACCAUCAUCACCAUACACCAUUCAUUCGCCACACAUGCACAUCUUGAUUUUGCUUAUUGAUUUGUUUCUUUGGAUCCAUGGUUUGAAUAUACAAUAAAUGUCUUGUAGGUAUGUAUAUUUUAUCUCCCACCUAUGAGCUCCAGAUAUUAAAGCCUUAUUAGAGUAGGGUGAGAGAGAAGGCAAUGUCACUAUGCUCUAUACCACAAAUACUACAUAUCUUGAGAGAAGGCAUAUACCAUCACUGCCUUGGUAAGGAUCCAGAAAUACCA